rnacentral:lncRNA from 7 species
AAAUAAGUUUGAGAAACAUCUGUUUUUCACCUUGGAUGAUUUUGUUAACUUGGAUGCAACAUUUUGCAGCUGUUUUUCAUUCUACAAACUUUGCCAAGUCUUUAAAAGAACAAUAUAAAAAGUUUUCAGAAAUAAUGAUGCCAGCUGCGCAGAAGACAGGAACAUGAUUUACAUGCUUUAGUCCUAGUGCUUUUGGUGGUGGCCAACUGCUCGGCUUCUAAUUGACCUGCUGAAGGAAUUCAGAACGACUAUUUCCUCUGAUUUCUUGCUUGAAGGUACAAAAAGGGGAAGUUUCUUGGAUGAGUGCCUGACAUACAAAAAUGCAUCAAACCCACAAAGCUCUGCACUCCAGAGAGAAAGCAUCUCCUUCUCUAGGGAUGAACAUAGAGACACCGAUCAACAAGGAGAGAAAUGUCAUCCAUCCUCAAACAUCUUUAUGCCACCUGCCCUUUCUGAAGCACCACAAUAGCUGGGAACGCUGCCAAGCCAUCACACAGCCAUGCACAUCCACUUCACUUCUCUAGGGGCGCAUGCAUUGCUAAUGCACAAUGCUACAUCCACACAGAAGAGCAGAAAACAUUCAAAGGAGUAAUUUUGCAGUGCUGAGUGCUGUUCAGUCCUACACAAUCUGGGCAGUGCUGCCUGAUUCAGAGCAGCUCCUGUCCUUCAUACUUGGAAAGAAAUGCUUUGUGAUGUGGAAUUUAUAUUUUUAGACUGAAAGCAAAGAGCACAUGAGCAAAUUCAGGGAACUUCUAACUCAUGAAAGCAAAAUUUACAUGAAAAUGCAUUACUGCUUAGGAUGCCAGAUAUCUAGCUUAUUUCUAGUUAUACAGAAUUGUUCAUCAGGAAUUAUAGUCCCUGUGUGCUGUCUUCAUCUAAGAGAAUUUACCCAUUUCUAGCAGAGAUCAGGUUUUUUUGUAAAAAUCAAUUCUUCAGGUGGUAAAGAACUUUUAAAAGAGACUCUUUCUAAGUCCUAAAUAAACAAUACUGCCAAUAAUUUCUAACAUCAAUGCUCAGCACUGCUCAGCUGCAUUAAUAAUAUAGAAUCAGAGAAUCACUAAGGCUGGUUCACUACCUUCUGUUUACAAUAAUUUAAUGGUGUUUUCCUUUUUAUACCAAGCCAGAAGAGAGAUUUCUCCAUAAAUAAAUAAGUAAAAUAUUUAUUGCUUCACUCUAGCUGUGAAAUAGCAAAUACCUAUACCAAGAUUUUAAAAUUAUAUUCUCCAUUUUAACACAUUCUAUAAUGUUCUUAUUAAUAAUUACACUAUUGUAUGUAUGAAUAAAAUAACUAAUGGCUGGU